rnacentral:lncRNA from 1 species
AAUUGACUUUUGUUGUCCUACUUUUUCUAAACUCUUUCUAGUGUUGUUUUGAUCCUCAAUGUGAAUAUAUCUCUUUAAUUUAUCCAGUCCCGCCUGUUCUUUCAGUCUGUGCAUUUCAGUCUUGAAAGAAUUUCAUUCAGCAGGUAACUUACUCAAUACAAGACCGACAAAGAGAUUAUCGGACAUAUCAGAUUUAUCAUCUUUCAGUUUGUUCCUCAUGUUCUCAAGUUCAAUUAA